AGCAGCAAGGAUGCCACAGUCAGUCCCAUGUGGCGCUCACAGCUGUGGGUGCUGUUUUGCCGUUAGACACUCCCCUCGGCUCUGCACUCAGGACCCGUAUCUCCCAUCACCACCCCGGGUAGAAAAGCGAUCACCGCUCAGACUGCACUGAGUCCCGGGGAACUUCGAAAGACCCGAGCAGGGCAUGCCAGGAAAGGGCACUUCUCAAAGCAGGGCUGCAAUUCCCGCAAUUGCAUCAGACAAUGACACAGCGGCCAAAACUCAGUCACCAGCCCCGCAUCCCAGCCCGCCAAAGACCGAGCGGGGAGCACUGCACUGCCAUGGAAAAACAACACUUCCCGGGAGGGAGGCACGUCCAGCUCCCUGCGAAGAGCCAAGGGCCGCUGGGGCGGUCCGAUAAGGAGCCGCGCACCCCGGGGGCCAAAGUUCAGGGCAAACACACGACUCGGAGCUGCCCUUUCAAGCAGCCCAGGAGACCUGCCAGCAGGACUGAGAGCCCGGGGUGCCGAGCAAGACACCUCGCGGGGCUGGGCGACUGCCAGCCCCCAAGGCGGCCGCAGAGGGUCCGGAGGAUAAGGGGGGGGUGUUGCUGUCCCAUCAGUUGCACUCAGGCGGCCGCUCCUGACCCGCGCGAGGUGCUGCUCCCACCCCCGGGGGGAGCCCGGCGGACGGUCGCUCCCGGGCACGCUGCAGGCAGCACUCACCUGCCAGGAUCGCCUUGCCGGGGUACUCUCCAACAGCUGUAACCAGCCCUGCUAGAUGUGAGUCAGCUCUCAUUGAGUCCUGUGGUCUGUGCACCUUCAUGUUGUUCUUUCCCCAUCAGCAAGUUUGAGGAGUCAGCUAGCAGAUGAAUUGGAAUCUAAUUCAGUACAUAGGACAAUUGACUGGGCUGGAGCCAGUCUCAGAGAUGGACUGCAUCACGGCUAGGAGAAACGGGCUCUUCACUCACUCCUCUCAUCCAGCUGGGCAUAGCAGUUUCUCUGCAGCCAGGGGUUAAUAAAGCUACCGGGGACCAAAACAGCAGCAGGAUAUCAGAGUGAGGACUAGGGGAUCUCGAGUACUGAGUGGGAACUGAAAACUGCAAGGGCUGGUUGACAAGCAUUGGCUACAGACCCAAAAAGCACCUCAAGUCUGGGGCCAUUCAGAUGGAAAGAUUUUCCCCUCCUACUCUUAUCCUAUAAAGAUCAUUAAAAAAUAAAAUCAUGUUAUUUGA